rnacentral:rRNA from 1 species
CCUACGGGCGGCAGCAGUGAGGAAUAUUGGUCAAUGGCCGGAAGGCUGAACCCGCAAAUCCGCGUGAAGGACGAAGGUGCCAAGCAUUGUAAACUUAUUUUGUCACGUGACAAAAUCAGGCUCGAGAGCCUGACCGAGGGGACUUGAAGAAAAAGCAUCGGGUAACUCCGUGCAAGCAGCCGCGGUAAUCCGGAGGCUGCGAGCUGUAUCCGGAUUUAUUGGGUUUAACGGGUGCGUAGGCGGACUGUUAGGUCAGCGUGAAAAGCCCGGGGCUCAACCCCGGCGAGCCGUUGAAACUGGCUGGCUUGAGAUGUCGAGAGGUAUGCGGAAUGCGCAGUGUAGCGGUGAAAUGCGUAGAUAUUGCGCAGAACUCCGAUCGCGAAGGCAGCAUACCGGCGGCGAUCUGACGCUGAGGCACGAAAGCGUGGGUAUCGAACAGGAUUAGAUACCCUUGUAGUC